UACGAAGGGGGCUAGCGUUGUUCGGAAUUACUGGGCGUAAAGCGUGCGCAGGCGGCUUCUCAAGUCAGGGGUGAAAGCCCAGAGCUCAACUCUGGAAUUGCCUUUGAGACUGAGUGGCUUGAGUACGAGAGAGGUGAGUGGAAUUCCCAGUGUAGAGGUGAAAUCCGUAGAUAUUGGGAAGAACACCGGUGGCGAAGGCGGCUCACUGGCUCGUAACUGACGCUCAUGCACGACAGCGUGGGGAUCAAACAGG
rnacentral:rRNA from 1 species